UUGACAUUUUGACCUCAAAUCAGGUAGGACUACCCGCUGAACUUAAGCAUAUCAAUAAGCGGAGGA
rnacentral:rRNA from 1 species